UCCGGAUUAGUAUAUCGGCUAGUGUAUCCGCCUUUCAUCCUUGUGGUCAGGAACGCAGGGGAGACAGGUUCGAUUCCCGUAUCCGGAA
rnacentral:tRNA from 1 species